UACGGGGCAGCAGUGGGGAAUAUUGCACAAUGGGCGAAAGCCUGAUGCAGCUAUGCCGCGUGUAUGAAGAAGGCCUUAGGGUUGUAAAGUACUUUCAUCGGGGAGGAAAAACAAAACUAAUAAUUUUAUUUCUUGACGUUACCCGAAAAAGAAGCACCGGCUAACUCCGUGCCAGCAGCCGCGGUAAUACGGAGGGUGCUAGCGUUAAUCAGAAUUACUGGGCGUAAAGAGCACGUAGGUGGUUUUUUUAAGUCAGAUGUGAAAUCCCUGGGCUUAACCUAGGAACUGCAUUUUGAAACUGAAAUACUAGAGUAUCGUAGAGGGAGGUAGAAUUCUAGGUGUAGCGGUGAAAUGCGUAGAUAUCUGGAGGAAUACCUGUGGCGAAAGCGGCCUCCUAAACGAAUACUGACACUGAGGUGCGAAAGCGUGGGGAGCAAACAGGGAUUAGAUACC
rnacentral:rRNA from 1 species